rnacentral:lncRNA from 1 species
AGUUUGUGAACUCAAAUAUAAUUUUUAAGAUUUAAGGGUAACAGCUGAGAUACAGAACAAACUGUAUACAUUACAAAUCAAGAGGAAAAUAGUAAUCAUUGUUUUAACAGUAUGACUACAUUUUUGUGCUUGGGAGGCAAUAUGAAGGAGAAACCUCAACAGGAAAAAGAUGGGAGAGAGUCUGGAGCCCCUGUUAAGAGGCAAGGAUGUCUCUGCUCAACCCAUCACAGAAUGAGAGGAGGGUCUCAAUACAUCAUUCCAUUUGAUUAUCCCCUGGCUACUUGAGCUUCUUGAAAUUCUUCCGAAUGACAUCAUACAACACAGCUUAGUGGGUCCCCACAACCACUGGUAGGGUCCUGGUGCUCUGCUUCACUAUGGAAGCCUUCUAGCUUGGUGUGAAGGUUGUUCAUCUGUUCAAAGAUCUUCUUCAAUACUUUUCCCAUCUUCAGCCUGAGGUAUGUGCAGCUGCAACCAGGUGGUGACCAUGGUGACUGCUCAGCUUCAGGCACUAUAGGAGGACUCCAGUCCACUCCUUGACAUCCACUGGGCCACCCGGAGGACCUUUGCUUUCAUCUUUCCUUUUUGUCUUUUCAUCCAUAUCCUCCUUAUCCUGCUGUUUCUUGCAUGUUUCCUGUUUCUUCUGGACUGGAUAGGCUCCAGAAUGUCCAAUGGGGACUGGGCACAGGGAAGAGGAUGCAAAAUCAACAAGGAAAUUCAAGUAAUCUAACAGAAGGCAGGACAGGAAGAAAAAAAAAUAAGUAUACAAGAAGCAUGGCAGCAGAAAACAUUUGGAUUCCUAGUGAAUUCCAAAUACAUGACUUAAUAAAUGUAAACGGCUUAAACUAAUUCAUUAAAAGGAAAAAAAUCUUCAGAUUGAAUUUUGUAAAAUGCCGGCUGUUUUAAGAGAGAAGCCUAAAAUAUAAUGUUAGAGGAAGAGUAAAUAGGAAAAAAUGUUUCUGAUAAUAAGUGUCCCUACAAAUAGUAAAUGCUCAAUAAAUACUUAUUUUAAUUGAAUGACUUAAUCUGAUAAAAUAUACUUUACAGCCAAAAGCAUCUAGAAUGAUAAAGAAGAUCACUGUUUAAAGAUUCAAAGAUACAUUCACCAGCAAUUCUUCCAUAUACCUAACCACACAGGUCAAAUAUAUAUACAGCAAAAACUGAUUUAAUUAUAUGAAGGUAACAAAUUCAAGAUUAUAGUUAGAGAUUUUAGCACAUACCUCUAUGAAAUCAACAGACCAGUAUAAAAAAUAGGAAAAAAUUUAAAUAACACAUAUUACAAACUUUAUCUGGUGGCUGUGAAGAGAACCCUUCAUUCAAUAAAUAAGGAAUACACAUGAAAUGUUUAUAAAAAUUGACCAGGUUCUAGGCCACAGAGCAAGUUUCAACAAAUUUCAAAGAAUUGCUAACAUUCAGACCACACUCAUCAACCAAAAAUACAAUAAAAGUUGAAACCAGUAACAAAACCACAGGCCCCAAACCCCAGAACAUCUUGAAAUUUCAAAAACACACUGUCAAAUUAUUAAAUAAAAUAAAAAUGAAAGUAACAAACUAUUUGGAACUGAACAAUAACUAAAACCCUAGAUAUUAGUAGAUGGAGUUUUAGCCUUAAAUGCAAUAUAAGAAAACAAGAAACAUUUUAAAUUAGGAAGAACAAAAAAAUCAAGCAAUAAAAUAAACUCAAAGACAAUAGAAAAAAAUUCUUUUUCCACAAAUGGACAAAGAUAAAGUAGCAGGAAGGUGAUGAUAAAGAUAAUAACAAAUCAGUAAAAUAAAAGCAAAGAAGCAAUAUACAUAGGAACAAAUGUGGAUUUUCUUAAGAUAAAAAGACAAAGUAGGUAGGUGCUCAACAAGAAUGAGCAAGAGAAACAAAAGAAGGCGCAAAUAAACACUUUUAGAUAUGAAAAGGAGCCAUAACUAUAAAUACAGUAAAGAUUGUUUUAGAGUAUGAUAAUUCUAUUCUCUACUUUAAAGCAAUAAAACUAAAAAUAGAUUAAAUGGAAAAUUUCCUAGAAAAGUAUGUUACCAAAGUUAAAACACCGGGGAGUUCCCAUCAUGGCUCAGUAGUUAGCGAACCCGACUAAUGUCCUUGCUCAGUGGGUUAAGGAUCCGGCGUUGCCAUGACCUGUGGUGUAGGUCACAGAUGUGCCUCAGAUCCCACAUUGCUGUCGCUGCGGCAUAGGCCAGUAGCCACAGCUCCAAUUCGAC